rnacentral:rRNA from 1 species
AGAGUUUGAUUCUGGCUCAGAACGAACGCUGGCAGCGUGGAUUAGGCAUGCAAGUCGAACGAGAAGCCUUCAUUUCAAUCUUUCGGGAAAGAGAUGGCGGCGGACAGUGGCGGAAGGGUGAGUAACGCGUGGGUAACUUACCCUCAAGUCGGGUACAACCUGGCGAAAGCUGGGCUAAUACCGGAUGUGGUCUUCUGUGGCAUCACAGGAUGACUAAAGGUGGGGAUCCUUCGGGACCUGCCGCUUGAGGAGGGGCCCGCGUCCCAUCAGCUAGUUGGUAGGGUAAUGGCCUACCAAGGCUUACGGGUAGCUGGUCUGAGAGGAUGGUCAGCCACACUGGGACUGAGACACUGCCCAGACUCCUACGGGAGGCUGCAGUCGAGAAUCAUUCGCAAUGCGCGAAAGCGUGACGAUGCGACGCUGCGUGGAGGAUGACGGCCUUCGGGUUGUAAACUCCUGUCAUUUGGGAGCAACAGCUUUGCGGUUAAUACCCGCGGAGUCUGAUAGUACCAAAAGAGGAAGCCACGGCUAACUCUGUGCCAGCAGCCGCGGUAAUACAGAGGUGGCGAGCGUUGUUCGGAUUUACUGGGCGUAAAGCGUGCGUAGGUGGUUGUGUGUGUCGGGUGUGAAAUCUCUCCGCUCAACGGAGAAACUGCAUUCGAAACUGCAUGACUAGAGUACAGGAGAGGAAGGCGGAAUUCUUGGUGUAGCGGUGGAAUGCGUUGAUAUCAAGAAGAACACCGGUGGCGAAGGCGGCCUUCUGGAAUGUUACUGACACUGAUGCACGAAAGCUGGGGGAGCAAACAGGAUUAGAUACCCUGGUAGUCCCAGCCGUAAACGUUGUGCACUUGGUGUGGGGGGAUUUGACCCCCUCCGUGCCGGAGCUAACGCGUUAAGUGCACCGCCUGGGGAGUACGGCCGCAAGGCUAAAACUCAAAGAAAUUGACGGGGGCCCGCACAAGCGGAGGAGCAUGUGGCUUAAUUCGAUGCAACGCGAAGAACCUUAUCCAAGGCUUGACAUGCAGCUGCAAACUUCUGAAAGGAAGUUGCCUUCGAGGGUGCUGCACAGGUGCUGCAUGGCUGUCGUCAGUUCGUGCCGUGAGGUGUUGGGUUAAGUCCCGCAACGAACGCAACCCUUGUGUCUAGUUGCCACCGUGGGUGUUGAGCCCGCGAGCACUCUAGACAGACUGCCCGUGCAAGCGGGAGGAAGGUGAGGAUGACGUCAAGUCCGUAUGGCCUUUAUGCCUUGGGCUGCACACGUGCUACAAUGGUCGGUACAGUGGGAUGCAAGACCGCGAGGUGGAGCAAAUCCAUAAAGCCGGCCCCAGUUCGGAUUGGAGUCUGCAACUCGACUCCAUGAAGUUGGAUUCGCUAGUAAUGGCGCAUCAGCUACGGCGCCGUGAAUACGUUCCCGGGCCUUGUACACACCGCCCGUCACAUCAUGAAAGCUUUCUGCACCCGAAGUCGCUGCGCUAACCCUGAAUUUCUCGGGGGGGUAGGCGCCGAAGGUGUGGGCAGUGAUUGGGAUGAAGUCGUAACAAGGUA